rnacentral:rRNA from 1 species
GAUGAACGCUGGCGGCGUGCCUAAUACAUGCAAGUCGAGCGAACAGACGAGGCGCUUGCUCCUCUGACGUUAGCGGCGGACGGGUGAGUAACACGUGGAUAACCUACCUAUAAGACUGGGAUAACUUCGGGAAACCGGAGCUAAUACCGGAUAAUAUAUUGAACCGCAUGGUUCAAUAGUGAAAGACGGUUUUGCUGUCACUUAUAGCUGGAUCCGCGCCGCAUUAGCUAGUUGGUAAGGUAACGGCUUACCAAGGCAACGAUGCGUAGCCGACCUGAGAGGGUGAUCGGCCACACGGGAACUGAGACACGGUCCAGACUCCUACGGGAGGCAGCAGUAGGGAAUCUUCCGCAAUGGGCGAAAGCCUGACGGAGCAACGCCGCGUGAGUGAUGAAGGUCUUCGGAUCGUAAAACUCUGUUAUUAGGGAAGAACAAAUGUGUAAGUAACUAUGCACGUCUUGACGGUACCUAAUCAGAAAGCCACGGCUAACUACGUG